CCUGGCUUAGGACGAACGCUGGCGGCGUGCCUAAUACAUGCAAGUCGAACGGUCUUUCUAUGGAAGCUUGCUUCCACUGAGAAGAUAGUGGCGAACGGGUGAGUAACACGUGGGUAACCUGCCCAUAAGAGGGGGGAUAACAUCCGGAAACGGGUGCUAAUACCGCAUAGUUUUCUUGAUCGCAUGAUCGGGAAAGGAAAGACGGCCUUUGUGCUGUCGCUUAUGGAUGGACCCGCGGCGUAUUAGUUAGUUGGUGAGGUAACGGCUCACCAAGACGAUGAUACGUAGCCGACCUGAGAGGGUGAUCGGCCACAUUGGGACUGAGACACGGCCCAAACUCCUACGGGAGGCAGCAGUAGGGAAUCUUCCGCAAUGGACGAAAGUCUGACGGAGCAACGCCGCGUGAGUGAAGAAAGGUUUUCGGAUCGUAAAACUCUGUUGUCAGAGAAGAACAAGUUGGAGAGUAACUGCUCCAGCCUUGACGGUAUCUGACCAGAAAGCCACGGCUAACUACGUGCCAGCAGCCGC
rnacentral:rRNA from 1 species